rnacentral:rRNA from 1 species
AACGAACGCUGGCGGCAUGCCUAACACAUGCAAGUCGAACGAGACCUUCGGGUCUAGUGGCGCACGGGUGCGUAACGCGUGGGAACCUGCCCUUAGGUUCGGAAUAACUCCCCGAAAGGUGUGCUAAUACCGGAUAAUGUCUUCGGACCAAAGAUUUAUCGCCUUUGGAUGGGCCCGCGUUGGAUUAGCUAGUUGGUAGGGUAAAAGCCUACCAAGGCGACGAUCCAUAGCUGGUCUGAGAGGAUGAUCAGCCACACUGGGACUGAGACACGGCCCAGACUCCUACGGGAGGCAGCAGUGGGGAAUAUUGGACAAUGGGCGAAAGCCUGAUCCAGCAAUGCCGCGUGAGUGAUGAAGGCCUUAGGGUUGUAAAGCUCUUUUACCCGGGAUGAUAAUGACAGUACCGGGAGAAUAGCUCCGGCUAACUCCGUG